rnacentral:rRNA from 1 species
UAGGGAAUCUUCCGCAAUGGACGAAAGUCUGACGGAGCAACGCCGCGUGAGCGAAGAAGGCCUUCGGGUCGUAAAGCUCUGUUGUUAGGGAAGAACAAGUAUCGGAGUAACUGCCGGUACCUUGACGGUACCUAACCAGAAAGCCACGGCUAACUACGUGCCAGCAGCCGCGGUAAUACGUAGGUGGCAAGCGUUGUCCGGAAUUAUUGGGCGUAAAGCGCGCGCAGGCGGUCCUUUAAGUCUGAUGUGAAAGCCCACGGCUCAACCGUGGAGGUCAUUGGAAACUGGGGGACUUGAGUGCAGAAGAGGAGAGUGGAAUUCCACGUGUAGCGGUGAAAUGCGUAGAGAUGUGGAGGAACACCAGUGGCGAAGGCGACUCUCUGGUCUGUAACUGACGCUGAGGCGCGAAAGCGUGGGGAGCAAACAGGAUUAGAUACCCUGGUAGUCCACGCCGUAAACGAUGAGUGCUAAGUGUUAGAGGGGUUUCCGCCCGUUUAGUGCUGC